UUGGAAGUUAUUUGGGGGAGCGAGAGAGGAGCGUGGAAGUCAGGAAGCUAGAAUCGGGGAGGGGCAGCAAGACCUUUUUGGAUUUUCAGCCAGGACUAACAGGGUGAAGGAAUUUAUCGCGAUGGAGGCGCGGGGGGCGCAGUCCCCGCCUCCGUCCGUGUAAGGAGAGGCUGCUCUCCCAACGGACCCAGCUUGCUGCGCAGGGAGCUAGAAGCUUGCCUUCUCGGACGGGGCGCCCGACUCCCCUCUAAAAUAGGGUGUCUGCUCCUCUCAUUUCCACGGAACCCCCUGCUGCCUGUGGGGCAAAGGGAAUCCUUAGGAGACGGGCAGGAGGACCCAGUCAUUCUCUGGUUUCACAAAUAUUUAUGGAAAACCAACCACUUUCCAGGUUCCGUUUUAGGCACUUUACGGAAUCACUUGCCAACGUCAGCAAGAGGCCCGCCUUAAUGAAGCCUGUCUCCUAUCGCGGGAGCUUACGGUGACAACGGCCCUGAUAAAUGACCAAAGAUUGGAAACUUCUAGAAGGAAUGACCGUUGGACUGUUAAUGAGAAGCAAAGCUUGGAUUGACCUUUUUAGUUUUCUCUCUAGGGCCCCUGCUGAUCUGACCCCCAUGAGAGCCCAGAUAAGCAGUGGAGGCUGCCCAGUCCUGCUGUUCCCAAGGUGCCAGAGCAGGUGUGGGACACAGGGACAGCCUUCUCCCCAGGCUCCCAGCCCAGCUCAAGGGACAAAUGUCCUGCCUGAAGCAGCCCCCUCCUGUCUCCUUCUUGGACCUCAGCUCCUACAAGCAACGUGCACCAUUUUAUUUUCCACUGAAACAAGCUUUUAAGUUAAGGCAAGUUCAUCCCCCUAAAUGUAACCCUUUCACACCUCUAUUUUCUCCCCUGUUAAAAAUACUAAACAAAAUGUCAUUUAAAUCUCAGAGACAGUUCUAGAUGGACCUAGCCAAACAGCAGCUGAGCGAGAUCUCUUGGCCCAACAUCCUAUUUCUGCAGAGGCAGCAGGUGCACCAGCUCUAUGCUUGUAUAAGAUGUUGUAAAAGAAAGACAUAAUGUAACGCUUUCCCUGACCCUGGCCCCCUGGUCCCCUGGCCCCCUGUGUCCCAUCCCAGGAGAAUCAGGCUCCAUAUGCAUGGUUAGAAAUGCAGUGCUUUGCAAAGACACUUUCUAAACUCCCUCCCCGGCUCACGCACAUUUCUAGAGUCUUUGCACCUGUAAGGUAUGGCUGACAUUUUUGCCUCUUGAGGGAAUCUGUAAAUAUUAGUGCUUCCUCCUUACUGUCCCAUCAUUCAUACAGAAGGAUAAACUUGGACCCAAAGGUAAUCUAAAGUGAUUUGAUGUGCAAAGUGCUCUAGGGACACCGAGGCA